rnacentral:tRNA from 1 species
UCCUUGUUAGCUCAGUUGGUAGAGCGUUCGGCUUUUAAACAAAUACAGUUUAAACCAAGGAUACCGAAAUGUCAGGGGUUCGAGCCCCCUAUGAGGAG